GUUUUCAGCUCAAAUAUUGGCAUCAUCUAGGAUUCUUUUCGGAGAUGCUGAAAAAAUAAAAAAUUAAUAGAUGGUGAAGAGGAGAAAAAGAGAAACAAUGAUGGGUUCUCGAGCAUUGUUAAGAGGCUCAAGGAUAUUUAUAAAAGCAUCAAGGUAAAGCUCUUGGCUUUUGAGCAUUGUCACGAGGCCCAAGGACAUGUAUCAAAAGCUGAUAGGUGAAGCUUUUGUUGAUGAUUUUUUAUGACUUCGCAUGUAGGGUUAUUUUUUCAAGCUUUUGGGAAAGCUCCUUUGGUACCGUCUGCUCAUCCUUUUUCCUUUUUUUUUGUUCUGUUUAUUCAUGAAAUAGUGGAUUUCCAUCAAGAGAGACUUUGAUGUCAAUAUUUCAUUUCAAUCCUGCAAUUUUAUGUGUGAUUUCUGCAUAAGAUAUGAGCA
rnacentral:lncRNA from 1 species